rnacentral:rRNA from 1 species
UACGUAGGGGGCAAGCGUUGUCCGGAAUCAUUGGGCGUAAAAAGCGUGUAGGCGGCCACGCAGGUCCGUUGUGAAACUGGAGGCUCAACCUCCAGCUGUCGACGGAAACCGUGUGGCUAGAGUCCGGAAGAGGAGAGUGGAAUUCCGUGGUGUAGCGGUGAAAUGCGCAGAUAUCAGGAAGAACACCAAUGGCGAAGGCAGCUCUCUGGGACGGUACUGACGCUGAGACGCGAAAGCCGUGGGGGAGCGAACAGG